rnacentral:rRNA from 1 species
GAGUUUGAUCCUGGCUCAGGACGAACGCUGGCGGCGUGCUUAACACAUGCAAGUCGAACGAUGAAAUCACUUCGGUGGUGGAUUAGUGGCGAACGGGUGAGUAACACGUGGGCAAUCUGCCCUUCACUCUGGGACAAGCCCUGGAAACGGGGUCUAAUACCGGAUACCACUYUGUCCCGCAUGGGACGGGGUUGAAAGCUCCGGCGGUGAAGGAUGAGCCCGCGGCCUAUCAGCUUGUUGGUGGGGUAAUGGCCUACCAAGGCGACGACGGGUAGCCGGCCUGAGAGGGCGACCGGCCACACUGGGACUGAGACACGGCCCAGACUCCUACGGGAGGCAGCAGUGGGGAAUAUUGCACAAUGGGCGAAAGCCUGAUGCAGCGACGCCGCGUGAGGGAUGACGGCCUUCGGGUUGUAAACCUCUUUCAGCAGGGAAGAAGCGCAAGUGACGGUACCUGCAGAAGAAGCGCCGGCUAACUACGUGCCAGCAGCCGCGGUA